CCUACGGGAGGCAGCAGUGGGGGAUAUUGCACAAUGGGGGGAACCCUGAUGCAGCGACGCCGCGUGGGUGAAGGAGUGCUUCGGCAUGUAAAGCCCUAUCGGCAGGGAAGAAGCAAGACGGUACCUGACUACGAAGCCCCGGCUAACUACGUGCCAGCAGCCGCGGUAAGACGGAGGGGGCGAGCGUUAUCCGGAUUCACUGGGUGUAAAGGGAGCGUAGACGGCCAAGCAAGCCAGGGGUGAAAGCCCGGGGCCCAACCCCGGGACUGCCCUUGGAACUGCAAGGCUGGAGUGAGGGAGGGGCAGGCGGAAUUCCUGGUGUAGCAGUGAAAUGCGUAGAUAUCGGGAGGAACACCGGCGGCGAAGGCGGCCUGCUGGACAGCGACUGACGUUGAGGCUCGAAGGCGUGGGGAGCGAACAGGAUUAGAUACCCUGGUAGUC
rnacentral:rRNA from 1 species